GGGGUGGGCGGCGGGGCGGGUCCAGCCGGGCAGGGGCCUGCGCCGGACCUGGCAAGGGGUGUUGGCGGCACCAGCGACGAGAGAAGCUCGAAGUGGGAGGCGCUGCUAGGGCGUCAGCGCGAGCAAUUAGGAUGUGGCAAGCGCGAUGACAAGGGGAUGCACGGGCAAAGAUGCCGACACAGGGGAGAGGAGCGCAGGGUAUCCAUGCCGGGGAAGAGGUGGCCGGCACUGGUGAGGACGGUGGCGCGCGCAGGCCGCGCAGGAAGGCCGGGUGGCGCUGCGCGUGGGAGCGGCGGUGAGCAGGAAGCGCAG
rnacentral:misc_RNA from 1 species